AACGAACGCUGGCGGCAGGCUUAACACAUGCAAGUCGAACGCCCCGCAAGGGGAGUGGCAGACGGGUGAGUAACGCGUGGGAAUCUACCCAUCCCUACGGAACAACUCCGGGAACCUGGAGCUAAUUCCGUAUACGCCCUACGGGGGAAAGAUUUAUCGGGGAUGGAUGAGCCCGCGUUGGAUUAGCUAGUUGGUGGGGUAAAGGCCUACCAAGGGGACGAUCCAUAGCUGGUCUGAGAGGAUGAUCAGCCACAUUGGGACUGAGACACGGCCCAGACUCCUACGGGAGGCAGCAGUGGGGAAUAUUGGACAAUGGGCGCAAGCCUGAUCCAGCCAUGCCGCGUGAGUGAUGAAGGUCUUAGGAUUGUAAAGCUCUUUCACCGAUGAAGAUAAUGACGGUAGUCGGAGAAGAAGCCCCGGCUAACUUCGUGCCAGCCGCCGCGGUAA
rnacentral:rRNA from 1 species